ensembl:antisense_RNA anr-29 ncRNA
AUCAAGCGAUAUUCAUGCUUUUGAUUCAUUCUCUCUGCUUUCUUUUUUCUUUCCUCAAAAGUUCGUUCCAGUUUCUCAAGUCGUUUCUUCUUGUACAUUCGGUAUUUUUCAAUAAUAUGGUCGUUGUGGUCGGCAAAGAUGUGAAUCUAAAAAUUCGAUUUUUUUUUCAAUUGUAGAGAAUUUGGUGUAUGUUGUUUCCUAACAGGAUUAAAAAGUUAAUUUGAUGUUUUUGUGAGUUCAUUGUACAUUUUAACAAAAUAAACCUACAUUUGA